rnacentral:snoRNA from 16 species
ACGACCUUACUUGAACAGGAUCUGUUCUAUAGGCUCGUACCGCUGCAUCCUUUACCAAUAAGGAGGCAAACACUUCAGUCUGGUUGAUGCAUUCUGACCUCUAGGCCAGAGCGUGAUUAACGGCCAGGAUUCACCUGAUGGGUGUCAUCCAAUGGCUGUAGAGGAUCGUUCUUGUCCAGCUCACAUUGGUGCAGGGUGGCACAGAGGUUGUCUGACAGACU